rnacentral:rRNA from 1 species
CCUACGGGUGGCAGCAGUGGGGAAUAUUGCGCAAUGGGCGAAAGCCUGACGCAGCGACGCCGCGUGAGGGAUGAAGGUCUUCGGAUCGUAAACCUCUGUCAGCAGGGAAGUACGGUCACUGUGCUAAUCAGCAGUGAAUUGACGGUACCUGCAAAGGAAGCACCGGCUAACUCCGUGCCAGCAGCCGCGGUAAUACGGAGGGUGCGAGCGUUAAUCGGAAUUACUGGGCGUAAAGCGCGCGUAGGCGGUAUGUCAAGUCAAGGGUGAAAUCCCCGCGCUCAACGUGGGAACUGCCUUUGAAACUGGCAAACUGGAGUGUGUGAGAGGAUAGUGGAAUUCCAGGUGUAGGAGUGAAAUGCGUAGAUAUCUGGAGGAACAUCAGUGGCGAAGGCGACUAUCUGGCACAUAACUGACGCUGAGGAGCGAAAGCGUGGGUAGCAAACAGGAUUAGAUACCCUGGUAGUC